UCUAAUGUGGCGGAUUUAGCGCUGUAAACUUAAAAUUUACCCAAAAGACUUACAAUUCUUCUUUAGAA
rnacentral:tRNA from 1 species